UACGGAGGAUGCAAGCGUUAUCCGGAAUGAUUGGGCGUAAAGCGUCCGCAGGUGGCAUUGUAAGUCUGCUGUCAAAGCGUCUGGCUCAACCAGAUAAAGGCAGUGGAAACUACAUAGCUAGAGUAAGGUAGGGGUAGAGGGAAUUCCUGGUGUAGCGGUGAAAUGCGUAGAGAUCAGGAGGAACACCUGUGGUGUAGACAGCUUACUGGACGAUAACUGACGCUGAGGCACGAAAGCGUGGGUAGCAAACAGG
rnacentral:rRNA from 1 species